AGCAGCCGCGGUAAUUCCAGCUCCAAUAGCGUAUAUUAAAGUUGUUGCAGUUAAAAAGCUCGUAGUUGAAUUUCGGGAUUGACGUGACGGUCGUGCCUUAAGGGGUAUGAACUGUCGCCGUUGAUUUCUCACCUUCUGGAGAAGCUCGAUGUCCUUAAUUGGAUGUCUUGUGGAACCAGGACCUUUACCUUGAAAAAUUAGAGUGUUUAAAGCAGGCAUUUUGCUCGAAUACAUUAGCAUGGAAUAAUAGAAUAGGACGGCAUGGUUCUAUUUUGUUGGUUUCUAGGAUCACCGUAAUGAUUAAUAGGGAUAGUUGGGGGCAUUAGUAUUCAAUUGUCAGAGGUGAAAUUCUUGGAUUUAUUGAAGACUAACUACUGCGAAAGCAUUUGCCAAGGAUGUUUUCAUUAAUCAAGAACGAAAGUUAGGGGAUCGAAGACGAUCAGAUACCGUCGUAGUCUUAACCAUAAACUAUGCCGACUAGGAAUCAGACGAUGUUAAUUUUUA
rnacentral:rRNA from 1 species